rnacentral:rRNA from 1 species
GAGGGUGCAAGCGUUAAUCGGAAUAACUUGGCGUAAAGGGUGUGUAGGUGGCUAUUUAGGUUUGAUGUGAAAGCCCCCGGCUCAACCGGGGAAGUGCGUUAAAUACCGGAUGGCUAGAGUGGGAGAGAGGGUUGUGGAAUUUCCGGUGGAGCGGUGAAAUGCGAUAAUAUCGGAAGGAACACCAGUGGCGAAGGCGGCAACCUGGCUCUCAACUGACACUGAGGCACGAAGGCGUGGGGAGCAAACAGG